CAACUUUCAACAACGGAUCUCUUGGCUCUCGCAUCGAUGAAGAACGCAGCGAAAUGCGAUAACUAAUGUGAAUUGCAGAAUUCAGUGAAUCAUCGAGUCUUUGAACGCACCUUGCGCCCUUUGGCAUUCCGAAGGGCAUGCCUGUUUGAGUGUCAGUAAAUUCUCAAC
rnacentral:rRNA from 1 species